rnacentral:tRNA from 1 species
GGGCGGAUAGCUCAGCCCGGUGAGAGCGCCUGCCUUACAAGCAGGAGGGCACAGGUUCAAAUCCUGUUCCGCCCA